rnacentral:rRNA from 1 species
GAUGAACGCUAGCUACAGGCUUAACACAUGCAAGUCGAGGGGAAACGAUGAGAGAGCUUGCUCUCUUAGGCGUCGACCGGCGCACGGGUGAGUAACGCGUAUCCAACCUACCCAUUACAGGGGGAUAACCUUGCGAAAGUAAGACUAAUACCCCAUGGCAUUUUAUGGUGGCAUCAUUAUAGGAUUAAAGAUUUAUUGGUAAUGGAUGGGGAUGCGUCUGAUUAGCUUGUUGGCGGGGUAACGGCCCACCAAGGCAACGAUCAGUAGGGGUUCUGAGAGGAACGUCCCCCACAUUGGAACUGAGACACGGUCCAAACUCCUACGGGAGGCAGCAGUGAGGAAUAUUGGUCAAUGGGCGAGAGCUUGAACCAGCCAAGUAGCGUGCAGGAUGACGGCCCUAUGGGUUGUAAACUGCUUUUAUAGGGGAAUAAAGUGAGCUACGUGUAGUUUAUUGCAUGUACCCUAUGAAUAAGGACCGGCUAAUUCCGUG